GCCGAUGCCAAUCGAAACCAAUCAACAGUGACGGUUGGACCGUGGGGAGAGGGAGACCUACCACCAGGAUGAAUGGUUGCUCUUGAAGAAAGCCUCCAAGAAACAGGCUGGAAGAAAAGACAGUCGCAGAGAAAGGUUGCCUUUUCAAACUAAUUAACACAAACCUGCUGCUCCCCCCCAAGCUUUUCAAGUGUCUCUCUCACAUGGAGCAAGAAACACAACUGGUGUCGUCUCUUCCGUAGGGAGACAGGGAGCGAGCUGAGUGCCAGGGACUAAACACACACUUUGAGUCAGCAAACAGAAUUUUGGAUUAGCUAAAAAAGAGGAGGGAAGCAAGCAAGCCAGCCAGAAAGUAUUCCCUCCUUCUUCUUCAAGUUCAAUACUAUUCUGGGUGUUUUGAGAACUGGGUGGUGCUUACCUGUAUCAGUAACAAUGUGCCCAGCAACCCUGAGGAGACUGUAGAGCCACCAUGAUCACAUGAGUCUUAGCAGAAGGAACCUUGGAAAUGGAAAUUAGCAGUUCAACGAUAUUAUUGUGGUGAAGUGACUAAAUCUGUGGAUGGAUGGAAAUGAGGUCCUCUGUAAGGGCCGAAGUCUGCCAAUACAAAAACAUAAAGCCUUCUAACAGCUUGCGUGGGAGGCACAGUCUUCACAAAACAAGCAAAGCAAGCAGUUUCCUGAAAAAAAGGAAGGAAGGAGACGUGGGUCAGAGACCCCAUUCCACAGUGGGGCAUCGACAGAAGACAGCACGGCCUGAUUCCACUCUUUGGGAACACGUAAGAAUUAGACAGCAACUGUGGGAUUGGAGACUUCUUGUCUUGCCAUCCCUCACCCUGUUCCUGUGCCAGGGGUAGGAGAAGCCUUCCUGUAGCCACUCAUGGGAGAGAGGCACAUUCUCAGCCACAUCAUCCCUCCUUCACAACAUUUUGACAUAGCUUUCUACUUUCUCUGGACACCUUGUUGCUUCCCAUUUUGAAGAAAUUGGGAAUUUUCUGGUCUGGUCAUUUCUGAGUCAAAAUGAACGGAUGCACAUCAGCUUACACAAGGGCAAGACAUCAAUUUUUUUGGUGUGUGUAUCUACAUCUUCACCUUCCUUUGCAAAUGUAACACCACUCUGAAACAAUCUCCUCCACCACCAGAUGAUUUUCCCUCCUGUUGGGUGAGGGGCUGAGGUCAGAUGUUUAAGCAGCCUCAAGUUCUUAGCAGCGUUACUUCUAUGUAAAUAUAAACAGGAAGAAGAAAUGCUUUAUCAUUAGUUCUUUUGUCCAAGAGCUCAGAGACACCAGCAAGAGACACCUACUCAAACAUCAGGAGGAAGAUGAGGCACUUUAUCUGUACAGCUCAGGAGACGGAUUCCUCAGCACCACCAAACUCUUUUAGCAUUUUUACACCAUCAAAAAUCCCUUCUGAGGAAAAGAAUUCCCAACAAACCCACAUUUUGCCAGGUAAUAACCCAAACCCACACCUACCUGCAGCUCCUUCUUCUGGAAGACAAGUCAGGCAUUUGGAAUAAUAAUAAAAAAAGUGUUAUUUAUUUUCACUGCUUUAAUCUCUCUACUGUAGUGUUAGCACUUAACAUAAGCAUCCACUCUUCUACUGUCCUAUUUACAAUCCAUUGAAAUGUAGACUCUACAAAUACAAUACAUAUUUUUCAGAAAUGUAAAGGAAAUGCACAAUUUCGUAAGGUUUUUAAAAAAGUGACACUCAUCUGUACAGAAUCCUCAAAUCAUCCGAAAAAAACAGGAGAAUUUACAAGUCAGUAUCCACACAGCUACGUAAGGGCAGGUGCUACAGUAACAAAGCAGCAAACUUGCUAAUACAAUAAAAGACAGAAAAAAUUAAAGUGUUUUGGGGCACCAGGUAAUACAUUUAGUACCGCUCAAGUUGGUAAAUUUAGUAAUUACCCAUCUUUCUAGAAAGACGUUAACUGCAAACUUGGAGAAUGUUCUGAAAAAAAUAUUAAACACUAUAUACACAUGAGGUAAAUGUACCUUGGUCUUUUAAGAGGUAAUUUGAGUUUAAAGCAACUGAUAUG